rnacentral:misc_RNA from 1 species
AAAUUAUCUAGAGCUAAAGUUUUAUUUGUUAGAAAUGGAGUCAUAAAUAUUAGGAUGACUUCAAUAAUUCGAUUUACUCCUCUGUCUGGUGCACAAGAUGAAGGACCAUUGUGUUAUCUUUUGCAAGUCGAUGAAUUUAAAUUUUUGCUUGAUUGUGGUUGGGAUGAAAACUUAAGCCAAGAUGUUAUUGAAAAUAUUAAAAGACAUGCACAUUCCAUAGAUGCAGUUCUUCUGUCUCAUCCAGAUAUAUACCAUCUUGGUGCUCUUCCAUAUCUUAUUGGAAAAUGUAAUUUAAAUUGUCCAGUUUAUGCAACAAUUCCAGUAUACAAAAUGGGACAAAUGUUUCUUUAUGACUUUUACCAGUCUCACGUGAACAAUCAAGAUUUUGCACAUUAUACAUUGGAUGAAGUUGACGCUGCAUUCGAUAAGAUUAUUCAACUAAAGUAUUCCCAACAUGUUAGUUUAAAAGGCCGUGGUCAUGGUUUAAGUAUUACUCCAUAUGCUGCUGGUCACAUGAUUGGUGGUACUAUGUGGAAAAUAAUGAAGGAGGGUGAGGAAGAUAUAAUCUAUGCUGUAGAUUAUAAUCAUAAAAAAGAAAUUCAUCUCAAUGGGGCUGUACUUGAAACUUUAAGCAGACCUGCACUUCUUAUAACUGAUUCAUAUGCGGCACUAUGUAAUCAGGAACGAAGGAAGGAAAGAGAUAUUCAGUUAAUGAAUUCUAUUUUAUCAGCAUUGCGGCAAGAUGGAAAUGUUCUUCUUGCUGUUGAUACUGCUGGUCGUAUACUAGAGCUUAUGCAACUUUUGGAUCAAAUGUGGAGCGCUAAAGAAUCUGGUUUGUCAGUUUAUUCGUUGGCUCUUCUUAACAACGUCAGUUAUAAUGUUGUUGAAUUUGCCAAAAGUCAAGUGGAGUGGAUGAGCGAUAGGAUGAUGAAAAGUUUUGAAGUUGAUCGUAGAAAUCCUUUUGCUUUCAAGCAUAUAACUUUAUGUCAUUUCCUUAAAGAGUUAGACCAAUUACCUUCUCCUAAGGUUGUGUUAGCAAGUGCUGCUGACAUGAACUGUGGUUUUUCAAAAGAUCUUUUUGUACAAUGGGCCUCGAAUCCAAAGAAUAGUGUAAUAUUUACAUUUAAAACCUCUCCUGGAAGCUUGGCACGAACUUUAAUCGAUAAUCCAAAAAUCGAAUCCGUAGAACUAGAGGUGUUCAAACGCGUGAGAUUGGAAGGGGUUGAGCUGUCACAGUAUUUAGAAGUUGAAAAAGAAAAAGCUCGUCAAGCUAAACUUCAACGCAAACUAACUGAGGUUGAUGUGAGGCAAGAAAAUGUGUUCAAAGAUGAAAGUGAAAGUGAAGAAGAAAUGGAGGAGGAAAAUUUGAAUAAGUCAAAGUAUGAUCUGAUGAUAACCAAUGAAAAGCUACGGCAUAAAAGCAGUUUUUUUAAACAAGCCAAAAUCUAUCCAAUGUUUCCAUUUAAAGAAGAGAGGCUUAAGUGGGAUGAUUAUGGUGAAAUUAUUAGACCUGAAGAUUAUGUUAUCAUUGAAAAUAAUUUAAUGGAGGAAGAAGGACCAAAGAUAACCAUUGAAGAUAUGAAAGAAGAUUUAGAGGCAUUAGAAAUUAAAGAACCUCCUACAAAAAGUGUUAGUGAAAUGGUCAAAGUUGAUGUUAGAUGUAAGAUUUCUUACAUUGAUUUUGAGGGGCGUUCAGAUGGUGAAUCAGUGAGGCGAAUUUUAUCAAUUGUAAAACCGAGACAGUUGAUUUUGAUUCAUGGUAGUCCUGCUGCAACAGAAGCGUUGUCACGUUACUGCCAAACUAGCACUCAAUUUAAUGUUUCAAAGGUUUAUACUCCAUAUACUAAUGAGAUGGUAGAUGCAACUAGAGAAAGUCAUAUUUAUCAGGUUAAAUUAAAAGAUUCACUUGUCAGUUCACUUAAGUUUGCAGUUGCCCGAGACACUGAACUUGCAUGGGUUGAUGGACAAUUAGUUAUGGAAGCUCGUGGUGAAAAGUUUAAUCAAAUAGAGCAAGAAAAUAGUGAAAAAGUUGAAAAACAAGACGUUGUUCCGGUGCUUGAACAACUGCCACCUGAAAUGAUUCCAGGGCACGCUACUGUAUUUAUUGACGAACCUCGUCUAAGUGACUUCAAGCAAGUUUUAACAAAAGCUGGAAUUCAGGCUGAGUUUACUGGAGGCGUUUUAGUAUGUAACAAUGUGGUUGCAGUUAGAAGGGGAGAACAGGGGAAAAUAUCUAUUGAAGGUGGUUUAUGUGAAGAAUACUAUGUUAUUCGACAAUUACUUUACGAUCAGUACGCUAUUGUUUAAGAUGAAAAAGAAUAUUUAUUUAGAUAUUUUUUGAAACGAAGAACAAUUUUUAUGAAGCGUGAAAGACUUAGCUGUUUAGAAAUAGACAAAAGGUUAAACUGGAGAUCUAAUAUUUAUAGUCGAUUAAAUUCAUACUUUUAACACGUUAUCGAGUAACGCAAUACGAGUUGAUUAUAUAUAAAGAAAACUGAAAAGUCACUUUUUGAAAACGAAACUUAUUAAUUAACCAAUCAUGGAGCGGUGAAGUUAUGGCAUCUUACACAAAUAACAUUACAAUUUUAGGCUUUCUUUUUCUCAAGUUGUUUAAAAUCCAAUGUUUAUAAAUUCAAAACUAUUUGAUUUAAAUAUGACGUCACUGUUACAGCAUUUAAACGAAAAUUUAAUUACAGAUUACUGGAACAUAGAGGUUAAUUUUAACUGGAUAACUGGAAGUUUUUGUAUGUUAUUACUUAAAACAUAUUUAAAUUUUAGUUAUAUUUAUUAUCA